GACGAACGCUGGCGGCGUGCUUAACACAUGCAAGUCGAACGGAAAGGCCCUGCUUUUGUGGGGUGCUCGAGUGGCGAACGGGUGAGUAACACGUGAGUAACCUGCCUUUGACUUUGGGAUAACUUCAGGAAACUGGGGCUAAUAACGGAUAGGUGCUCCUGCUGCAUGGUGGGGGUUGGAAAGUUUCGGCGGUUGGGGAUGGACUCGCGGCUUAUUAGCUUGUUGGUGGGGUAGUGGCUUACCAAGGCUUUGACGGGUAGCCGGCCUGAGAGGGUGAACGGCCACAAUGGGACUGAGAGACGGCCCAGACUCCUACGGGAGGCAGCAGUGGGGAAUAUUGCACAAUGGGCGGAAGCCUGAUGCAGCAACGCCGCGUGCGGGAUGACGGCCUUCGGGUUGUAAACCGCUUUCGCCUGUGACGAAGCGUGAGUGACGGUAAUGGGUAAAGAAGCACCGGCUAACUACGUG
rnacentral:rRNA from 1 species